CAGUAGCCGCGGUAAUACGAAGGGGGCUAGCGUUACUCGGAAUUACUGGGCGUAAAGGGCGCGUAGGCGGCACGAUUAGUCAGGCGUGAAAUUCCUGGGCUCAACCUGGGGACAGCGCUUGGUACGGUCGAGCUAGAGGAUGGAAGAGGGUUGUGGAAUUCCCAGUGUAGAGGUGAAAUUCGUAGAUAUUGGGAAGAACACCGGUGACGAAGGCGGCAACCUGGUCCAUUACUGACGCUGAGGCGCGACAGCGUGGGGAGCGAACAGGAUUAGAUACCCCUGUAGUCCCUGUCUCUUAUAC
rnacentral:rRNA from 1 species